rnacentral:rRNA from 1 species
CCUACGGUCGGCAGCAGUGGGGAAUAUUGCCCAAUGGGGGAAACCCUGAUGCAGCAUCGCCGCGUGAGUGAUGACGGCCUUCGGGUUGUAAAGCUCUGUCUUCAGGGACGAUAAUGACGGUACCUUAGGUGGCAGCCACGGCUAACUACGUGCCAGCAGCCGCGGUACUACGUAGGUGGCGAGCGUUGUCCGGGUUUACUGGGCGUAAGGGGAGUGUAGGCGGACUUUUAAGUGAGAUGUGAAAUCCUCGGGCUCAACUUGAGUGCUGCAUUUCAAACUGUAAGUCUAGAGUGCAGGAGAGGAGAAUGGAAUUCCUAGUGUAGCGGUGAAAUGCGUAGAGAUUAGGAAGAACACCAGUGGCGAAGGCGAUUCUCUGGACUGUAACUGACGCUGAGGCUCGAAAGCGUGGGGAGCAAACAGGAUUAGAUACCCGAGUAGUC